rnacentral:lncRNA from 1 species
CAUUGGCUCUUCCAGGAUGAAGUACAUCAAUAAUCUACAAAAGUAGAAAUAUUUUUUAUCACUUUAAAUCCAGAGAAAGCAGCAAUACUAAACACUACGACAUUGUGUCAAUCCAAAACUAGCGCGUUCGGCUAUAAACCCUCACUAUCCGUUCCUCUACAGUUGGACCCCACAGCAAUACUAAGCACUACGACAUUGCCUCAAUCCAAAACUAGAUGGUUCGGCUAUAAACCCUCAUUAUCUGUUCCUCCCAGUUUAUGUAAUGGUGUUUCCGUUUUACUCUGUCGUUCAAAAAAUGACAGUCUUAUUUA